rnacentral:tRNA from 1 species
GCAGCCGUGGCCUAAAGGUUAGGACUUUGGGCUUUUAACCGAAGGGUUGCUGGUUCAAUCGAGUCAGCUGGU